rnacentral:rRNA from 1 species
UGAAACACGGACCAAGGAGUCUAACAUGUGUCCAAGUCGGCAGGUUACAAAAACUGCGAGCCGUAAGGAAGCUGAUUGGAGAAAUCCCCCUCUCACGGGGGUGCAUCGCCGACUAAUCCCAAUCUUUUGUGAAGGGUUCAAGUGCGAGCAUACCUGUUGGGAUCGAAAAGAGGGUGAACUAUGCCUGAGCAAGGCGAAGCUAGAGGAAACUCUGGUGGAGGCCCGCAAUGAUACUAACGUGCAAAUUGUUCAUCUGACUCGGGUAUAGGGGUGCAAGACUAAUCGAAUCGUCUAGUAGUUGGUUUCCUCUGAAGUUUCCCUUASGAUAGUUGGAGCUCACGUGCGAGUUUUAUCGGGUAAAGCAAAUGAUUAGAGGCAUUGGGGGCAUAAUGCCCUCGACCUAUUCUCAAACUUUAAAUAGGUAAGAGGGAGCGACUGCUUUGAUGAGACGCGCCAUGGAAUCGCGAGCUCCAAGUGGGCCAUUUUUGGUAAGAAGAACUAGCAAUGCGGGAUGAACCAAAAUUCGAGUUACGGUGCCAAACUGCGCGCUAACCCAGAUCCCACAAAAGGUGUUGGUUGAUUAAGACAGCAUGACGGUGGUCAUGGAAGUAGAAAUCUUCUAAGGAGUGUGUAACAACUAACCUACCGAAUCAACUAGCCCCAAAAAUGGAUGGCACUGAAGCGCAUGACCUAUACUCGACCAUUGGGGCAAGUUCCAAGCUUCGAUGAGUAGGAGGACGCAGGGGUCAUUGAGAAACCUUGGGCGUAAGCUAGGGCAGACCAGUCCCCGGUGUAAAUAUUAGUGGUAGUAGCAAAUAUUCAAAUGAGAACUUUAAAGACUGAAGUGGGAAAAGGUUCCAUGUGAACAACACUUGGACAUGGGUUAGUCGAUCCUAAGAGAACGGGAAGCCCUGUUUCAAGGGUGCACUGCGCGCGAACAUCAAAAGGGAAUCAGGUUAAUAUUCCCAAAUCGGGACGUGGUGACAUACGACAAUGUUAGGAAAUUCUGAGACAUCAGUGGGGGCCCCAGGAAGAGUUAUAUUUUCUUUUUAAUAGCCUGCCCACCAUGAAAUCGGUUCAACCAAAAAUAGGGUCCAACGGUUGGAAGAGCACCACACGUCCUAUAGUGUSUGAUGCACCCUCGGCGGCCCUUGAAAAUUUAGAGCACCGAGUACCGUUCAUGCCUUAUCGUACUCAUAACCACAUCAGGUCUCCAAGGUGAGCAACCUCUAGUCAAUAGAAUAAUGUAGGUAAGGGAAGUCGGCAAAAUGGAUCCUUAACUUUGGGAAAAGGAUUGGCUCUGAGGGUUGUGCCUAGGGGUCUAUGUCCCAAACCUGUGGGUUGUCGGCAGUCUACCUGAGCUGCUACCGCUGUGAGGGCGGUCGUCGCGUGCCAACCGAGCGACGAACACGUAAUGCCCCUUCGCGGGGGCUUUCCCUAGGCAGCAAACAGUCGACUCAAAAUUGGUACAGACAAGGGGAAUCCAACUAUUUAAUUACAACAAAGCAUUGCAAUGGUCCUUACAGAUGAUGACGCAAUUUGAUUUCUUCCCAGUGCUCUGAAUGCCAAAGUGAAGAAAUUCAACCAAGCGCAGGUAAACGAUAGGAGUAACUAUGACUCUCUUAAGGUAGCCAAAUAUCUCGUCAUCUAAUUAGUGACGUGCAUGAAUGGAUUAACGAGAUUCCCACCGUCCCUAUCUACUGUCUAGUGAAACCACAACCAAGGGAACGGGCUUGGCAGAAUCAGCAGGGAAAGAAGACCCUAUUGAGCUUGAAUCUAGUCUAACUUUGUGAAAUGACUUCAGAGGUGUAGAAUAAGUGGGAGCUAUUUUCAACGCAAGUGAAAUACCACUACUUUUAACUUUGUUUUACUUAUUUCGUGAGGCAGAGGCGGGGCACAACCCCUAUUUUUGUUCUUAAGGUACGUUUUAGAGCGUCGAUCCGAGCGGAAGACAUUGUCAAGUGGGUAGUUUGGCUGGGGCAGCACAUCUGUUAAAGAUAAUGUAGGUGUCCUAAGAUGAGCUCAACGAGAACAAAAAUCUCAUGUGGAACAAAAGGGUAAAAUCUCAUUUGAUUUUGAUUUUCAGUACGAAUACAAACCAUGAAAGUGUGGUCUAUCGAUCCUUUAGAUUUUUGGAGUUUGAAGCUAGAGGUGUCAGAAAAUUUACCAUAGGGAUAAUUGGCUUGUGGCAGCCAAAUGUUCAUAGCGACGUUGCUUUUUUAUCCUUCGAUGUUGGCUCUUCCCAUCAUUGUGAAGCAAAAUUCACCAAGUGUUAGAUUGUUCACCCACCAAUAGGGAACGUGAGCUGGGUUUAGACCGUCGUGAGACAGGUUAGUUUUACCCUACUGAUGAACCGCGCCGUAAUAGUAAUUCAACUUAGUACGAGAGGAACCAUUGAUUCACACAAUUGGUCAUCGUGCUUGGUUGAAAAUCCAGUGGCACGAAUCUACCAUGUGUCGGAUUAUGACUAAAUGCCUCUAAGUCAGAAUCCAUGCUAGAAGCGGCGCUUGUCCCUCCUCGGCUGUAUCGUGACCCGCAGUAGGGGUGUUUUGGCAUCCCCAGGGGCCCGUGUCAUUGGCAAAACUUCGGACGGACUAAACCGCCAAUCGAAGCAACUUUGAAACUCAAUUCCAAACGGUCGGCAAGAAGAAUCCUUUACAGAUGACUUAAAUAUGCAACGGGGUAUUGUAAGUGGCAG